CGCACAUUGCGCCCCUUGGUAUUCCAUGGGGCAUGCCUGUUCGAGCGUCAUAUAUACCCUCAAGCUCUGCUUGGUGUUGGGCGUUGUCGUUGCGACUCGCCUCAAAUACAAACUUCAUUGGCAGUGGCAUAUGGUGCAGCACAUGUACCUGCCCCGUCCGCUAAAUCUAUUAUUUGACCUCGGAUCAGGUAGGGAUACCCGCUGAACUUAA
rnacentral:misc_RNA from 1 species